rnacentral:tRNA from 1 species
UGGCUCAGUGGUAGAGCGCGUGCCUUGCAUGCCUGAGGCCCUGGGUUCGAUUCCCAG